UACGGGGGGGGCAAGCGUUGUUCGGAAUUACUGGGCGUAAAGGGCGCGUAGGCGGCUCGCUAAGUUGGAUGUGAAAACUCUGGGCUUAACCCAGAGCCUGCAUCCAAAACUGGCAAGCUUGAGUACUGGAGGGGAAAGCGGAAUUCCUGGUGUAGCGGUGAAAUGCGUAGAUAUGCGGAGGAACACCGAUGGCGAAGGCAAUCCCCUGGACCUGUACUGACGCUCAUGCACGAAAGCGUGGGGAGCAAACAGG
rnacentral:rRNA from 1 species